rnacentral:lncRNA from 1 species
AUGAUUGAUUCAUUUCUAAAAAGGUGGGUAUAUUUUUCAAAAGUGAGACAACCAAAUCAACUAUUAAAAAAAAAAAAGUCUAAAUCAUAAAGAGUGUUCAAGAACAUGUCAAGAAAGGUGUUGCAAGCAUUCAUCUGAUAUAAAUGCUCCUUGGUAGCUAGCUAAUAUCGGUUAAACUGAGUCAUCAGAGUCAUCAGAGUCACUCCUGUCAGCAUCCCCAGCGUUUGUAUGAGUCUCUGGAACAUCAUUCUUUGAUGCGGAUGUAGCUGCAGGUUUUUUAUUAGCACCUCGAGCAUUCUCACCACCUUCUUGCUCAGCUACUUCCACAUGAUAUCAAUAUUUUCAGCCGUUCCUCCAGCAAUGAUUUUGAGAAGAUCUUUCUCAACACGAGAGACAAGCUCAGGCUGG